GCCGGGGUGGCGAAACGGCAUACGCGAUGGGCUCAAAACCCAUUGGGCCGCAAGGCCCGUGCGGGUUCAAAUCCCGCUCCCGGCA
rnacentral:tRNA from 1 species